UCAGCUCGUGUCGUGAGAUGUGGUUAAGUCCGCAACGAGCGCAACCCCUACUUGUUAGUUGCCAUCAUUCAGUUGGGCACUCUAGCGAGACUGCCGGUAAUAAACCGGAGGAAGGUGGGGAUGACGUCAGAUCAUCAUGCCCCUUAUGACCUGGGCUACACACGUGCUACAAUGGUUGGUACAACGAGUUGCGAGUCGGUGACGGCGAGCUAAUCUCUUAAAGCCAAUCUCAGUUCGGAUUGUAGGCUGCAACUCGCCUACAUGAAGUCGGAAUCGCUGGUAAUCGCGGAUCAGCACGCCGCGGUGAAUACGUUCCCGGGCCUU
rnacentral:rRNA from 1 species